CUGCCCUUGACAUGUCAGGAAUCCCCCAAAAAUUUUGUAGUCCCUUUGGGACUGGCCAGAACACAGGUGCCGCAUGGCUGUCGUCAGCUCGUGUCGUGAGAUGUUGGGUUAAGCCCCGCAACGAGCGCCCCCCUCCCCUUUUGUCGCCAGCAUUUAGUUGGGCACUCUAAGGAGACUGCCGGUGACAAACCGGAGGAAGGGGGGGAUGACGUCAAGUCAUCAUGGCCCUUACGGGGAGGGGUUCACACCUUCUACAAUGGUCGGUGCAAAGGGGUGCCAACCCGCGAGGGGGAGCUAAUCCCACAAAACCCAUCGUAGUCCGGAUUGCAGUCUGCAACUCGACUGCAUGAAGUCGGAAUCGCUAGUAAUCGCGGAUCAGCAUGUCGCGGUGAAUACGUUCCCGGGCCUUGUACACACCGCCCGUCACACCAUGGGAGUGGGUUU
rnacentral:rRNA from 1 species